UUUAAGCACACUUUUUGUUUAGGGCCCGAACUUGGUGAUUUUUCCAUUCUUUAAUGCAUCCAGAUCCUCCUUGUACAUCAUACAACUCCGAAUAAUGCCCUAAUGUCACCAUGUAUUUGAAAACGAUAAAAGCUCUACAAAACUACAUCAAAUGGACCCCGAACGGGUUCGAGACACUGAAUCGAGAUUGAAGUUAGAAAUGCACGAAACAUCAUAAACUUCUAUCUAAAACUAUAUGAAUAUGCAUUAAAUGUCGCUCAAAUGAGGACGAUAAACAUGAAAAAUCAAGUGUCAUCAGUCGUCAUCCACCUAGAAGCCGCCAAAGAAGAAAGCUUCCUAGAAAGCUAGAAAACAAGAAGUGGUCGCAACCACCUGAAAACAAAAAAAGCCCUGUGUUAGUGGUAUAUUGUUCAAAAACUUGUCCCACUUCGUUCAUUCUCAUACCAUGCAUUCACCUUUUACAUCAUUACUCGAAGGAUAAGCUUAAACUAAUGACUAUCGUGACCAAAUACUAAAAGAGACUAGUCUAAGUAAUCAUAAUAAUGAACUCACCAUUAAAAUGGGCAUCUUCAUCAAAUUUAUGACGCUGGAAAUUUGAUAAAGAUGUUAAAAAAAUGAUGACAAAGUAAUUCACUCAAGUAAGCGAAAAGCUCACAAGUAAAAUGAAAACAUGAUACAAGAGCUAAAAUGACCAACUAUAGCCUAGUUUCACACCAUUACACCAAGAAUCCGAAAACUACAACACGGCUUAAAAUAUGAUAUCAAAGCCGAGCAAGAUAUGGGUUUUGUGGUUAAGACAUGCUGUUGGAAUUUUAUUAAAAGUGUCAAAAUAAUCAAAAAUUUCGACAAAUAAGCUAAUGUAGUUGUACUAAGAUUAAUAGGUUUAAUUCCGGAUUGAAAUAGCGAUUUGUUUUUUACAUUCAUAUCUUUACGACUAGAAAAGGGUAAUGAUAGCAUGACUUUUUCUAUUUCUGUCUUUUGGCUAGAAAAAUCGAAGUAAUUUUAGCCUCUGUUUUACCUUCUCAAGUAGAGUUUUUCCUCCGCUCUGAUUUUCUCGAGCAAGAUAGAUCCGUACUCUCUACAUCUGAAGUAACAUCUAAAACAAAAUCAGUUCCUACGUUUGCGAAAAUCGGGUUUAGUUAAUAAUCAAAGAAAGAGAGAUUUUCUCUUUACGUGAUUGAUCGUUUAUGUGGGUGUCCCAAUUCGUUGGUGAUGCGUCACGGGUCAGUGGCCAUACCAUCGUCAACGAUCUUGUUCGUACCUCGUCGAUAUGUAGUAUAAAAAUAAGAGAAAUAAGAAGGGUCAAAAAUGAAGGAAAAAAGUUAGUACAAAUUGUGGUUUCGUAGAUGGGGUUACAUGUUGGUCAAAGACUCGCCUGAGGCAUCCUCCAACUAUAUGCAAGCCGGAAUCUCGAUUUUUUAGGAAAAGGGAAAAGAGGAAUAGAGGAGUAGGGAUGUUUCGUUACCACCGUCACCGAGGAACGGCUUUGGCUUCCCCCUUACUUUUUGUUUAACUGCUUGAUGUGAGAGUGAGAGGAGAUAAGAUGUGCGCCAGCCGACGGAUUUCCACCGCCGCCGUCGCCAGUGGAAGGAAAAAAGAGGUUCAUAUGGAGAGUAAGGAAAAAAGAGAAUGAUAUGACGGGGAAGGAAAUGAGAGCAAAUGCGUGAGAGAGGAGAAGUGAGACACGGAAAGAGAGGGAGGUGUUGCCGCCGCUGAGAUAGAGUUUGAGAGGAAGAGGAGAAAUAGGAAGGAGGAGAGGCGCAGUGCUGCUGCCGCCGCUGUGGAGGAGAACAUGAUGAAGAGAAGGAAUUGAAAGGAUCAAAGAGGAGAGAGAUAAGGGAUGAUGGC
rnacentral:lncRNA from 1 species